rnacentral:rRNA from 1 species
GUGGGGAAUUUUGGACAAUGGGGGAAACCCCGAUCCAGCGACGCCGCGUGAAGGAUGAAGGCCUUCGGGUUGUAAACUUCUUUUGGAGGGGACGAAUAAAUUGACGGUACCCUCAGAAAAAGCCACGGCUAACUACGUGCCAGCAGCCGCGGUAAUACGUAGGUGGCGAGCGUUACUCGGAAUUACUAGGCGUAAAGCGUAUGUAGGCGGUUGUAUAAGUCUAUGGUGAAAUUUCCUGGCUCAACUGGGAAGGGACAUAGAUACUGUAUGGCUUGAGUGUUGGAGGGGGAGACGGAAUUCCUGGUGUAGCGGUGAAAUGCGUAGAUAUCAGGAGGAACACCGAUGGCGAAAGCAGUCUCCUGGCCAAAUACUGACGCUGAGGUACGAAAGCUAGGGUAGCAAACAGGAUUAGAUACCCUUGUAGUCC